UGAAAACUAAAAGUAAAAUAGAAACAUGGGUCACGAAAAACAUGCAGGGGCGAUAUCAGAGAGUGAAGAGAACUUGCUUCUUGCAAGACACUUUCCGUGAAAACAAUUCAGGUUGAUAUGAAGACAAUCUUGUUUCAUUAUUAUUUUUUUUUUUUUUUUUUUUGAAAUUUCCAACAUGAGGCAUUUGCCUCAUUUGCCUCCAUGUAGUUACGGCCCUGUAUUAUGAGGGGUACACUUCAACAAUAUUCAAGUGAUAUGAAAAAAAAUAUUGUAAAAAUCACAUAGUACAAAUGUGCACA
rnacentral:lncRNA from 1 species